ensembl:lncRNA
CUUUUAGUGAUGCUAAGAUUGACCAAUGGCCCCAGGAGCUGAACAGAUUUGAAGAUAUAAACUCUUUGUUCUUCUCUGACCCUCAAGUCUUGGGUUUCCUUCUGGCUUCCUGAGCAUUGAAUCCAUGAUUGUUGAAAGGCUCAGAGAGAUAACAGGUCUUUCUGAAUUUCAAAAACCAUCUCUUGAAAUAGCAAGAACCAAGACUUGGUUGACUCAGAUCACUUUAGCCAUUGAGAGGAUUUGGAAGGAAUACCAUGUGAAGCCGGGCUCACCUGGCAAGAAUGGGGAAAGCCUUUUUGAUGAGGGAAGGAGUGAGUGGAUGGCUGUGUGUUGGUGGAGCCCACCUGGCUCCUCUGUCCAUGGAAUUUCCCUGGCAAGAAUACUGGAGUGGGUUGCCAUUUCUUUCUCCAAGGGAAUCUUCCAGACCCAGGGACUGAACCCAUGGUUCCUGCACUGAUGAUGAACAAAUGAUCUGUGAUGGAUCAACUUCAGAACAUGCAUUGUUCUUUGGGAAUCACUAUUCUUCAUUAUGGAGAUCAUAUGAUCUGAUUUCACUGUACACAGAGGGCACACAACAACUAGCAAAAAUGGAUCAUCUAAGAGGGGGAGCAGAAUACAUUAUCCCUAAAUAUGGCACUGAAUUGGCAUGUGGAUUAUUUUGGGCUGAAGGCAAUCUUGACCUAGAGAACUCAAGAAACACUUUUACCUCUCUCUUAAUGACUUAAAAGUUACCGAGGCCAAGUUCAUAUUGCUCCCUAUAGGAGAGGUCAAUCAAUCAGGAAAUUAGAUGUUAGGACAAGGAAUAGUGACUUUACUCAGAAAGCCUGCAGACAGAGAAGAUGGUGGACUAAUGUCCCAAAGAACCAUCUUGCCCAGGUUUGCAUGCGAAUUUCUUUUAUAGAGCAAAGAAGGGGUUCAGUUCAGCUCAGUUCAGUCACUCAGUCAUGUCCAACUGUUCGUGACCCCAUGAAUCGCAGCACGCCAGGCCUCCCUGUCCAUCACCAACUCCCAGAGUUCACCCAAACUCAAGGAGGUAAAGUAAAAAAGGCAAUAAGUUGUUGCAAAUAGUUCCUGAUUCUGGGCAGACUUCAGAGGGGAUGUGUUAAUUUUUUCAUGCCUGCAGCCAUUCUCAGGUGGGCCUGGUCAGGAUAUUUCGUAUAAGCUAAACAGGUAUUAUAGCUUAAGCUCAGGCAUGAGAGCCGGGUUCACACAGACGGGCCAUUAUGUAUACAUUAAGCUGUAGCAGCAUCCCUUUAGUGAUUAACUUGUAGCAAAAGCAAUAGAACACAAAGGUUAAAGUAAAAGAAAGAGAUCCAAUAUGGCGUCAGAUUUGUUCUUCCCUAUUACACAUUUAGAUAGGGAGCCUCCUUCUUAACUCAAGAGGAAGUACCCUUACCAGAGAUAAUUGUCAUCUGAAAAACCUGUCUGUAUGCAGAGAGAACAUCUAAUUACCAAACGUCAGCUCUACUUUUUGUUCUGUGAAUGACCCUCUUUCCCUUUGAAGCCCCAGACCCCUGUCCCAUCCUCUAGCUCAAGAUGGCAUAUAAGCCCCAACUUGUCCUUGGGCCUAAUAUUCUCGUGGAACUCCCGAAUCUAUGUCAUCAAGUUGGUUUUUCUCCUAUUAAUAUGUCCUAUGUCAAUUUAGCUAAUAGGCCAGUCAAAAGAACCUAGAAGAGUAAAGGAAAAGUUUUCCUUCCCUGCAUCUGGACAGUCUAUAAUAAACCUUUUGGGGAGUGACAGACAGAAAAAUCUUUAAGCUAAAUCAUGCAUUCAUCCAUUCAUUAAACAGUCAUGAAUGGAAUACCUUCACUGUGUUAGGAAAUGUUUUUUGUUGGGGGUCACAGAGAAGAAAAAGGGAUGCUUUUUGCCUUCAAGGAGCUCACAUUCUCAUGAUUUACAAUACAGCGUGAUGAGUACCAAAAGACAGGUUUUAAGAAUUUCAGAGGUGUCGACUCAGCGUGGGAGGAGGAAAUUGUAAGAACAGGUGACACCUGAAUUUUGAAAGUAGGUGAACAAAGUUGUCCUUCCCAGGUAGCUCACUGGUAAAGAAUUCACCUGCGAAUACAGUAGCCGUGGGUUUGACCCCUGAAUUGGAACGAUCCCAUGGAGAAGAAAAAGACAAGUCACCUCAGUAUUCUUGCCUGCGAAAUCCC